AUACGUAGGGGGCGAGCGUUGUCAGGAAUGAUUGGGCGUAAAGGGCGCGUAGGCGGCCCGGUAAGUCUGGAGUGAAAGUCCUGUUUUUAAGAUGGGAAUUGCUUUGGAUACUGUCGGGCUUGAGUGAAGGAGAGGUAAGUGGAAUUCCCAGUGUAGCGGUGAAAUGCGUAGAGAUUGGGAGGAACACCAGUGGCGAAGGCGACUUACUGGACUGUAACUGACGCUGAGGCGCGAAAGUGUGGGGAGCAAACAGGAUUAGAUACCCUGGUAGUCCACACUGUAAACGAUGAAUGCUAGGUGUAGGGGGUAUCGACCCCUUCUGUGCCGCAGUCAACACAAUAAGCAUUCCGCCUGGGGAGUACGGCCGCAAGGUUGAAACGCAAAGGAAUUGGCGGGG
rnacentral:rRNA from 1 species